rnacentral:rRNA from 1 species
GAUGAACGCUGGCGGCGUGCUUAACACAUGCAAGUCGAACGAUGAAGCCCAGCUUGCUGGGUGGAUUAGUGGCGAACGGGUGAGUAACACGUGAGUAACCUGCCCUUAACUCUGGGAUAAGCCUGGGAAACUGGGUCUAAUACCGGAUAGGAGCGUCCACCGCAUGGUGGGUGUUGGAAAGAUUUAUCGGUUUUGGAUGGACUCGCGGCCUAUCAGCUUGUUGGUGAGGUAAUGGCUCACCAAGGCGACGACGGGUAGCCGGCCUGAGAGGGUGACCGGCCACACUGGGACUGAAACACGGCCCAGACUCCUACGGGAGGCAGCAGUGGGGAAUAUUGCACAAUGGGCGCAAGCCUGAUGCAGCGACGCCGCGUGAGGGAUGACGGCCUUCGGGUUGUAAACCUCUUUCAGUAGGGAAGAAGCGAAAGUGACGGUACCUGCAGAAGAAGCACCGGCUAACUACGUG